rnacentral:lncRNA from 1 species
AUUGGCAACGUGCAGCAACAGGGAACACGUGUCAGUUUUGAUUUGGCGAACAAUCGCGUCGGGUUCACUCCCAAUAAGUGUUAGGCAUUUUCGGAACCCAUAAUUACCUUGUUACCCCUGGUAAUUGGUAGAAAAAGGGAACUGUUAGCUGUCCAUUUGUUAGGAGAAACUUUUAUACCCGUUUAAUUGUUAGGAGAAUGAACUGAAAGAUGUUGCGUUAAAGGAGCGUUGUUGACUGGUGGUGGAUGAAAGUGGGAUCCACCUCAAUAAAUUGCAUCAAGCUUUUGGCUGGAGUGGGUCG